CAGUCGUACCGACGAGAAAUCAACUUAUCGUGUGCGAACUUGUGGGCGUGCGUGAGUUUCGGCCUCGCUGUUUGCAUGUUUGUGCGCUUUGGGUGUACUUUUUCGUAUGGUAGGCCAACGUCAGUUUCGAUUAUCAUAAAAUGACCGGCGGAAUGUAGCUUCGAUUUCGGUUGAAGUGUUAUAGCCUCUGGUAGAUGUGGUGAUUGGGACUGAGGAUUGCAACGAAUACCCUUUGGGCUAUCCGUCUGGCCUCUGAAAGUUGCUCAGGUGCCGAAAGCGUGCUUACGGUCAUCUAAGAUAACGUUCAACAGGUUAGAACGUGAUUACAUUCGUUAAGGACGUUGGCGUAAUAGCUUUAAACGA
rnacentral:rRNA from 1 species